UCCUGUUGCUGCGACAGCCGACCACAAGCACAUUUCUGAGAAAUUUUGUUUUUUAAUAUAUUUCCCUAGUCUUCGUAAUUCUGUAUCAUGGAGAGGGUGAUUCUCAAAAGGAAUGUUUUUACUUAAUAGCUUAAAUAUGUUAUAUACAUGACUCUUAGAAUUUUAUUUAGUAGUUUGAAACAUAGGCAGUGUCUGUUAUAGGUAACUUUUCAUAAUUUUUUUUUCCCCAGAAAACAUCAUGAGAAAAGAGAGGCCUGGGUUCUAGUCCUGACAGGACUGUUCCCUAACAAAUGGUCCUGGCAAAGCACAUAACCUGAGGCUCUGAAAGGUUGUAACAGGAGGAGCAGGAGUCUAUUAGAUGCCUCAUCUAGCAACUUCAAUCUCUCAGUGCCAGAGGUCAGAAAAGGGCACCAGAUUGCCUGUGUCUGGAAUUAUGGAUAGUUGUGAGCCACUCACGGUGUAAGUAAGUACUGGGAAUCAAACCUAGUUCUUCCAAAACAGCAAGAAGCACU
ensembl:lncRNA